GUGUCAGCAGCCGCGCGGUAAUACGGGAGUGGCAAGCGUUAUCCGGAAUUAUUGGGCGUAAAGCGUCCGCAGGCGGCCCUUCAAGUCUGCUGUUAAAGCGUGGAGCUUAACUCCAUCAUGGCAGUGGAAACUGAUUGGCUUGAGUAUGGUAGGGGCAGAGGGAAUUCCCGGUGUAGCGGUGAAAUGCGUAAAUAUCGGGAAGAACACCAGUGGCGAAGGCGCUCUGCUGGGCCAUCACUGACGCUCAUGGACGAAAGCCAGGGGAGCGAAAGGGAUUAGAUACCCCUGUAGUCCUGGCCGUAAUCGAUGAACACUAGGUGUCGGGGGAAUCGACCCCCUCGGU
rnacentral:rRNA from 1 species